AGUGAACGCUGGCGGUAGGCCUAACACAUGCAAGUCGAACGGCAGCACAGUAAGAGCUUGCUCUUACGGGUGGCGAGUGGCGGACGGGUGAGGAAUACAUCGGAAUCUACUUUUUCGUGGGGGAUAACGUAGGGAAACUUACGCUAAUACCGCAUACGACCUACGGGUGAAAGCAGGGGAUCUUCGGACCUUGCGCGAUUGAAUGAGCCGAUGUCGGAUUAGCUAGUUGGCGGGGUAAAGGCCCACCAAGGCGACGAUCCGUAGCUGGUCUGAGAGGAUGAUCAGCCACACAGGAACUGAGACACGGUCCAGACUCCGACGGGAGGCAGCAGUGGGGAAUAGUGGACAAUGGGCGCAAGCCUGAUCCAGCCAUACCGCGUGGGUGAAGAAGGCCUUCGGGUUGUAAAGCCCUUUUGUUGGGAAAGAAAAGCAGCAGGUUAAUACCCCGCUGUUCUGACGGUACCCAAAGAAUAAGCACCGGCUAACUUCGU
rnacentral:rRNA from 1 species